rnacentral:sRNA from 1 species
UAAUAGUUGGGGUCCAGCGUGCAUAAGC